rnacentral:lncRNA from 1 species
GUGUUUAAUUAGGUGGGCUAGUCUCAUAAAUUAAUUAUCCUCUUGUCUGAUUCUAUGUUCAAAACAUUAUGUUUAAAUAUGAAGAUAAGGCCCAGGUCUCCACGUACAGAGAAGGAAGAAAGGAGAAGUAAUUUCCUAGGCCAGUACAUAUCAAACCAAACCAACAAAAUCGCUCUUGCAGAUAAAGUAGUCAGCUCUUGAAAUGCUUCAUUCUUGUAGUCUAAUUCGUUGUUAAAAUCAGACUUCCCAAUGAUCACAUUAUGCUUUCACAUAGCAAAACAGCGAAAGAGAUGUCCCUGAGUUGGGCUAUGAACAAAAAUAUAGCAAUUUAAUUAAUUUCUCUCUGUUUUUUUAAUGGAAAUGUUAUCGUCUUAAUUUUGAAUUUUCUCCUUCUUAUAGGUCACUGUUUGUCUCUGCAGCAUUUUUCCCCCACAGUCGUCUUAGCUUUAUUGAAUGAAUUGAGUUUCAACCUCUGCUGAAGUGCUUCAGAAUUAGCUGAUGAUUCCACUGCAAAACUAUAAGUUGUGGGUGCAACAGACUCUGAUUGCAAAAGUAGAGAAGAUCUCUCUGGAAGGAAACCUCCCAAUGUUUUCACCACGAGCUGUCAUGAAGAGAGACCUUGUGAAGCUCCACUCCAGCUUAGCUGCUUGCAAGGACAUCCCAGUUUCCAGGCACCAAAGUCUGGUAAAGCAGUCACUCAGCCUUCGGCUCCAGGCAGCCCCCUCAGGGAUGUUCUACUUGCUCUUCCACCCUUGGAGGCCGGGCUACCACUGUGUUCCGAAAACUGAUGAGCAUCCAGCGGGCAGCUCGCAGUCAGCUCCCCAGGCUGAUACUGGUUCCCUGGUUCAACCAUCUGCAAAGGAACAAAAUGAAAAUUCAUUUUCCACAUGGUGAAAUGAAUGUCAUUCUUAUUUUAGUUUGUCAUAGAAAUCUUCUCUUUACCGCAAGAACUAUUCUUCAACUUAAACUGAAAUUGGAGAAUGCAUAUGGGCUACCUAUAAGUGGUUGAAUGCAAUUUUUUUAGAAUUUUAUGUGCUAUCAAUUAAACAUGUUUUCAUAACUGAGACACAAAUGUGAACAACGUUUUUGUUUUCAUUGUCAAGAUUUUCUAAUGGUGUGAAGGAGAAGGUAGAAAUUGGAGGCAUUCAGGGAAGAAGAUCAGUUGAGAAUUGAUAUUUGAACCUCUCUCUUACUUGUUCUUCAGUAAUAUCUUUGUCCAAAUCCAUAGAACAGGCCCUGGAGCCAGAUGGUCUGAGUGUAGGUCUUGGAUCUGCUGCUUAUUUGCUGUGAAACACCACACAAGUCACUCAGCCUCUCUGGGACUGUUUUCUCCUUUGUAAAAUGGGAAUAAUAACAAUACCUACAUCAUGGGGAUGAUGUGAUAAUUAGACGUGAAAGCAUGGAAAAUGCUUAGAACAGUGACUGGGACCUGGUGAGUUAAUGAUUAUCAUCAUUAUUUUGCACUCAAGUUAGUUCCUCACCUUGGAAGAACUGACACCAAUAAUCUACGUGUUAUUUUUAAGGGAUUGGUUAUAAAUGUUGAGUGCUCCCAAUCUUGACUCAAAUUAGAGUCUUCAAACCUUAUCCUCAUCUUUGGCAAGAAAGUGAGGUCAGCACUCAGGGAUCCCCAAAUAAUCUCUCUCCUCUAGUUACACAGCAUUGUGGGACUCUUUUUU